UACAUAUAAUACACAUUUCAUGUAUAUAUAUUAUAUAUGAAAAGUGUGAAUAUUCUUAUUUGAAUAAAUGAAAUAUGAUUAUCACAUACAGAGAUCAGUGACACUACUAUCGGUAUUUCGCCAUUCUAUCUACAUGUAUGACUUAUACAAGAAACAGUUUGAGUCUCUCUCCGUCGCAAGUUUCGCCCAAUAAGUGCGGCUUUUUAACGGACACUCGUUUGAAAAGGCUUCUCAAGUUAAAUUUAACCGCAUUUUUAACUGCUAACCACGGUUAACUGAAUUUUUUCGCGAUCCGUGAUGUAGAAAAGAUCAAAAUAAAUUAUCAGAUAUGAAAUCGCAAUAUAUACCGCCCUUGCUAAAUCAAAGUCGUAUGACUUGUCGAAUUAAAUCGAGUGUAACUCGAAUUGUUUUUCUAAACGUUGUUGUAUCUGUAUACACUACACAGUUGUACAGAGUAAACAUCUCAGUAUCACGUUUUUGAUGGAAGCUUUACGUCAUAGCAUACUUUCGAGUGGAAAAAAAGCAAUGUUUAUCUGCGCAAGAACAUACGAUUUUUGAAUUGGAUGGUCUCAUUCAAAACGCCACAGUCUCUUUUGAGAUGUUUCUCUCUUCUAGUGCAAUUGGUUAUUAUUAUUUCCUUGGAAGAAGAAUUAUCAUUGUUAUUGUUAUACAUUAGCGUGGUAUCGUGUAAUCGGCUCGUUGAAGCAUUGUAAGCUGAUUUUCACAAUAAGCUGAACAAUGAGAUGCCGCUGACCAUUUUCUCGCAAUAGUUUCACAACUGUUACACGACAAAAGUCGACUUGAAAGCACAUAGUAAUUGUCUUGGAUAUCGAAUAGAUUGAAAAUUUCCCUCGCGACUGUGGUGGCCCCCCGCUAACGUGGUCUAUUUUACAAUAGUAGUAUUAAUUCGCUAAAAAUCGCCGUUCAAUGGAGUGCCGGAUUGACGAAUCGAUUUUUCGCGGGAAUGAACAAUACGAUUGUGUCUGGAAGUGUAUGAGUGUGUCGGGGAAGUAGAGGCAUCGUAAGAGAAUGAUCGCAGCUACCCGUAGCGUAUGUUAUUUACCGAGUUCUGUUUCAUAUAUCCCGUGUGUAUACAUAAGUACUUGAUUAUGUGAGAAUCGUGUUUUACACUGGUGUGUAGGUGUGUCAAAAUUAUUGAUUGGUUGUGUGUGAAAGAAGGCAUUUGAAAUUAAUCAGAUUUUUCUAUUUUUAGUUAAGCGAUGUGAAAAAGAAGCGUCUUACGUAUGUGGAUGCUUCUCCGGAGUAUCUGACGCAAAACGUGCGGGGCGUUUGUAAUGCUCGUCGAACAAAACACGAUCGAAUGAGCUCUACCUGCGCACGCCAUGCGUCGGAUCUCUACGUGUUGCAAGUAUUGAAUGCGUCAAUACUUUAAUGACAAGAUUCUCAAAUUGUUUUCUUCAACGACAAUGAAAUAAGUAGCUUUACACGUUGAGAGUAUUUAUUUGAAAGGAAAAAGAGUCUCUAUAGUAACACGACGAGGAACGAUGCAAUUCACACCUCACAAUUAUAGUCAAUAACUUUAACAUACGGAGUAUAUAGUUAUCGCAUAAUUAAAGACCACAUCUGUCACCGCGACGUCACCGGUGUGUACUGCAUUAAGAAAUUAUUUAGAACAACUAUCUCCUCAGAACACUAAUUACCUUAUGAGUAUAUACUAUUGAAGAAAAGGAAAAAAAAACAAAAAAUAAAUUAUAAUACUAAGAGAUGUAUGUGCUGUUGUGCUCUUCAUUUAAUCGUAAUUUUUCAUAAAACUUCCUACUUGAAGCGAAAAUAUUGCUGAAUAUCGUUAAUAUGCAAUCUAUUAGCAAAUAAUCUCUCUCACACAGUACUCUUUCUCUCUCAUUAGCGUCGAUUCUUGUCGUUACACGUGUCGUGUACACAAACAAUGGAAUGGAUUCUUGUGAACUUUCAAUCUAUUGGAAUGUUCGAAUUCCUUGUGUGUAUGACGGUUGAAUGUUAACGGUCGUCUCAGAGCUACGAGUAUGAAAGUUUUCACACUUAAUAAAAAUGAUGCCGUUUGUCAAGAGAAAGCGCGCGCGCGCGUGCGUGUCUCUUGACAACGCGAAGUGUAGCAAAAUGAGGUGACUGAAUUAAUAAUGUAAGGCGAGCGGAAAAUUGCUGUAUAAGUCUUAGCUUGAGAGUGAGCAAAAGUGGUCUGAUGUGUGUUUGGUAUAUACUUGACCGAGAUUGUUUAUAUGCAUAUAUGUAAAAAAGAUUAAAUCUCAGAGAUUUGAAGUGGAAAUAAACACAAUGAGAUGUGUAGAGCUCGUUGAUCGACAUUCUGCCGCGCUUCUUAAGUCUGUAAAUUGUUAGAUUCACUAUACACAGAGGCUGUAGUUUAAGACAACUUUUAACAGACAUUAGAACCGUAAUUAGCUUGUCGCUGACGCACAAACGUUCGCGCUUUAAUAUAUUAAUAUACGGAAAUAUUUUCAGGGAACGCAAUUCCAAUACGCAAGAUACGUGAAGUGAAAUGAAGUAAAAAUAUAAUUUGUACGAGAAGUAAAAUAAAGUGUGGAUGACGAGAGAGAGAGAGAGAGAGAGAGAGAGAGAGAGAGAGAGACAACUGUAUGAUGGACAAUAGUCGAUUAAUCAGUCUGAACAUUCGUGCGUCAGUAGUCGCAAUCACGGAUCAUUUCAAAUCGUUUGAAAUAACGAUGCCUACGUCUUGGUGUACUACUACAGAUUGAUCGAUCAGGAGAGAGAGAGAGAGAGAGAGAGAGAGAGAGAGAGAGAGAGAGAGAGAACCACCGCGACACAGUAAAUAAGCUCUUCGUGAUCCCUCAAUAAUUCAUCUUGUAGAAGUGAGAUUUCACGCGACUCACACGGGACUUUACUGCUCAAAGGAGUUGCCUUGCAAAACGAUUUGAAAGUGAUCUACGAGAAGUGUGUAAAUACGGAUUGAUAAAGCAAUUUUAAUAUCGCUCAUACGAGAUGUAACGAAUUUUACUGUAAAGUUAGCUGUGCGUUCUUGUAAAUCGCUCGAUAUGUUAUAUUAUGUAUUCUGAGAGAAAGAAAGAAUGAGAGAGAGAGAGAGAGAGAGAGAGAGAGAGAGAGAGAUAGAGAGAGAGAGAGAGAGAGAGGAAGUGAAACUGUGCGUGGCAGUUAGUUGAGUUGAAAUGUGUGUCGUGAAACAUUGUCGUGUGAGAAUGUUGAUUUUAAUCCGUCGAUCUCAAUUGUUGAGGGAUUUCGAGCCGCGUCGCGAGAAAGGACUCACAGUGAGAAACCGCCGUGCGAAUCCGGCUUUCUUCUUUUUACACUUUUGAGAUACCUCGGAGCUACACAAUUCGAAGUCGAAUGAGAAUUGACUCAUCGAGGAUUUUUUUACCUGUACCGUGUGUUGCGCGAGACUUUGUGGGUGUGAGUUAUUAGUUUGAUGAUCGCGAACGACGUAUUCCCCAUAUACGUACGUACGUUUUCCAAUUUGCGUUGACGACGUGAAAUCAAUCGCAAGACAUUCUCCGAAUCGCCGCGGUGCAAAAAAUACUCAAGUAACGUCGUUCUCCGUUGAUUGUAGUGUAUGUUAAACUAUGCCGAGAAUAAAAAACCCAAACAUCGUGGGUAUCACACAUAUCCUCUCACGUGCCUUUAAAUAUUGAGUUAACGUACAGUGGCGCACUUCCCGGCUGUCCCAGAAUUAGCAGAAAAUAGGUACAACACGUAGUUUGUUACCUCUCGUGAAAUUUGAAAACUAAUUUCGUUAACAAUGCCAAGACGUCGAUUAAGUUCCUUCCGGAGAUAAGUGGCUUUUCGCACAAAUUAAAUCUGAAGAGAUGAAAACGAUUCAUCAUUAUAAGUCUAUGAAAGAAAUAGACUUCCGAGUUUUUAAAGCGAAAAGUUGCGAGAUUGGCGUUAAUUCCGGGACACCUGGUAUAUUUCAGAUCUGUCUGUCGUGCGCACAUCGGAGACAAAAAUCGAUAUUUCGUUUUUAUCUCAUUCAUUUUUUCGAGACCCCUUGAAAUUCUCAAGAAAGAAAAACAUUGUUCGGCUGCGUGCGCAAGAUUUUUAUUCUCAUGAAUUAUAUCAACCCGCACGUCGGAAAACGGAGCCUAAUUAGGACAUGCAGUUACAUCGCGAGAUGAGGGCACGGUCGUAGGGCAACGUUUGAAAUGAUAAUAUCGUGAAAACGAGAGCGGAAGUGUACGAAAGGUAACGUAACAGUGCACUGGUAACACCGGCCUUUUGGGUGAUGAUGACUGAAUGAAGAGAUGCUCGCUAUGGUAGACGUAAGACUGUGGAAACGCCCGCUGAUCCUCAAAACAGCCUACGACAGAUGAAUAUAUUGUGUCAUGAUGAGUUGAUGUCCGUACGUGAACGUACCUCUGGAUGGAACACGAAGUGUUGAUGCACGUGGAAAGAAAGAUCGAAAGCGAGUGAGCGAGAGAGAAAGAAUUUGGAGAGAUAUGAGAGAGCGAGAGAGAGAGAGAGAGAGAGAGAGAAAUAGGGAGCGUGCGAGCGAGAGAACGAGCGAGAGAGAGGGAGAGAAAGAGGAGAGUAUAUCUUUGCAGGAGAUUAAUUGCAAGUGAGAUGAUAUGAGAAUGAGCAUGAUGAUGAUGAUGAUGCACUGUGCCGAGAGCGAGUGCUUUUUGAAAGCGUGGACUUUUUUUCGUAAGCGUGCUGUGAUAUUGCGAGAACAUCCGUCGCGAUCGACGUCGAUCGUUGAUCGUUAAUUGUCGCUUUCGCGACACGAGACAGGUAAUUCCCAGGCAGUCGCGAAUGCAGAAGUUAUGAUUGGAGAACAGAUCUGCGGGCAGUUUGUGAGAAGUCGCGGUCGAUGACACAAACAGCGAGGGACUGUAGGAUUAAAGUAAUCAACCAAUACAUGCUCUGAUAUUUAUAUUCAACUUUUCUCUCAUGUUUAAAUUGGUAAUUUUUAAUUUAACUUAUGUAGAUAUUUAUUAAAGAGAUGUAAAAAUGUCAUAUAAAUAUGCCGCACACAUA